GGAGGGGUGGGUGAGUGGCUGAAACCAACGGUUUGCUAAACCGUCGUAGGGGUCAAACUCUACCGAGAGUUCGAAUCUCUCCCCUUCCG
rnacentral:tRNA from 1 species